rnacentral:rRNA from 1 species
AAAUCAGGCAGGACUACCCGCUGAACUUAAGCAUAUCAAUAAGCGGAGGAAAAGAAACUAACAAGGAUUCCCCUAGUAACUGCGAGUGAAGCGGGAAGAGCUCAAAUUUAAAAUCUGGCGGCCCCCUGGCUGUCCGAGUUGUAAGCUAGAGAAGCGCAGUCCGCGCUGGGGCCAUGUACAAGUCUCCUGGAACGGAGCGUCAUAGAGGGUGAGAAUCCCGUCUCUGACAUGGACCUCCCAGGGCAUAGCGAUUGCGUUCUCAAAGAGUCGAGUUGUUUGGGAAUGCAGCUCCAAAUGGGUGGUAAACUCCAUCUAAAGCUAAACAUAGGCGAGAGACCGAUAGCGAACAAGUACCGUGAGGGAAAGAUAAAAAGAACUUUGGAAAGAGAGUUAAACAGUACGUGAAAUUGUUGAAAGGGAAACGCUUAAAGUCAGUCACGUCGGCUUGGGAUCAGCCUUGCAACUGCGAGGUGCACUCCCUGGUUCGACGGGUCAGCACCAGUUUCGACCGCUGGAGAAAGGUCGGGGGAAUGUGGCAUCCUCGGAUGUGUUUAUAGCCCUCGAUUGCAUGCAUCGGUUGGGAUUGAGGAACUCAGCGCGCCGCAAGGCCGGGUUUUCGAACCACGUCCGCGCUCAGGAUGCUGGCACAAU